rnacentral:pre_miRNA from 1 species
AAUUCGUGGUGAAGAUGCAGAGGAGCUUGCUCGUUUUGAAGUAUUGUCAAUGCUACUCCGAAUAGGGUAAAGAUUUUCUCGAGUUUUGACUCGAGUAGUG